GUUCAGAAGGUCCAGGUUUUGUAUACUGACUCAUGAAUUGAGCAAACUGGUAAAAAUGGAGAUAAUUCCAUUAUUUUACGGGAUAGUUGUGUCAAGUGAGAUGGCCAUGAAAGGAUACAGAGAGUACUGUCUGUGUUCCCCUGGGUCUUCAUUUAUACUUGUAGCUGUUGGAUGUGUGAUUUUCCCACAGAGGUUUAUUUUAGGGGCAGGAACCAAGUUUGUAUUUUUUAAGACUGUCAUUGCCUUGCAUGUAGGCAUCGUUUUGCAUUGUAGAUAUUAAGUGGAUAAAUCUUGAGUGAGUGUGGAUCAGUGGAGAAAAUGUGCUGAAGUUUACUCAAGGCUUCGGAUGAUGGUUUUGGUUACUUAUCCUACUCACAGCUUAGAUCUGGGGUGAUUGUAUAACUUGUAAAACACCCAGUGUUUAUCAUGAGUGUAAGAAGUAUUUGGAAAGAUGUGAUUUCGAUUUUUAUGUGGUUGUGGGGAGGUAAAGGAUACUUAAACUCUUCCUCUGCCAACUUAAAGUUGCUCCCCCUCUUUCCCUUUCCUGUCUUUGAAAUUGAGUGGAACAGAGAAUCUGAAUUGAGGCCGGACCUCAGUGGGUGCUUCCCCAAAUAAGGGAUUAUGAUGUUUUCUGGAAUAGAAGACAGAAAGGGAAGUUUGUCAGACCUGGGAAGUCAUCCCUGGUUUAUCUGCCAGCUAUUCCCGAGUGUUCCUGUGCACUCUGUAUAUUUUUUGCUAUAGCAUUUAUUACAUUGUUUUAUAAUUACCUGGAUCUGUCAGUCCCUCUUCAUUGUAAGCUCCUUGAGGGCAGGGACUGCAUUUUUGUAGUCAUGGUACCAGCAAAAUAUUUGGCAAAUAGUAGGUGCUCAUGUAAAUUUUUGACUUCGACUAGAGUGUUCUUUUCCAGAAUCUGUUCACUAAUGGUAACAACCACAAUUUUUGGAGUACCUGCAAUGUUCUAGAAGCUGUGCUGCGUAUUAGGGGGUGUAAGAUAGAGUUUGCCAUAUAGACCAUGUUAAUAAAGUUAUUUAAUUCAAACAAACAAACAAGAACAGCAUCAUGGCCACAGGAAUAGGUGUAGAGUUUGGUUCUUACUCAAACACAAAGCCAAGGAGUGGCCAAAAAGAGUCACAUUCAGGUUUGUGUAACUGCAAAGCCCUUUGGAGGGUACCAUGUUUUCUUGGUUUUUCUCAUUAGACCCUGAAUUAAUAGAAGGCCAUCAUUCUGUUUUUUAGUCUUAUUGAUCAUGGGACUUGUAAAUAUUUUUGAGCAGUAAGUUUAUGCCUAUCUGUUGGUUUAGCUUAUUUCUAUUCCAUUUUAAUGCCUGCUUUGUCUUGAGUCUUAUCAAGUCUUUAGAAUACCAAUACUUUUUUCCUAUUUUUUGCAAUUAUACAUAAAGCUGUUAUGAAUAUUAAAUUGGAUAGUUCACGAUACUCGUGAAGGAAGCUGUAUUAGUCAGCUUGGGGUGCGAUAACAAAACACCAUAGACUGGGUGGCUUAAACCACAGAAACUUCUGUUUUCCAAGGUCUGGAGGCUGGAAGGCUGAGACCACCGUGCCAGAUGGGUGGGUUCCACAGGGCUUUCUUCACUGGCUUGCAGACUGCCUUCUUGGCUCCUCCUCGGUGUACCCUCUAAUUGCAGAGAGACAGAUCUCCCUCUUUUUACAAGGUCACCAACGCUGUCAGAUUAACAUCCCACCCUUAUAAUCUCAUUUAACCUUAAUUACCCCCUAAAAGCUCUUAUCUCCAAAUGAAGUGACUGUUGGGGAACAGGGCUUCAACAUAUAAAUGGGGGGACACCUUCCAGUCCAUAGCAGAAGAUUUCCAGGUGUGUCUUUUUUUCUGGUCAGUGCAUACAGUUUUGAUGGAAAAAGCUAAUCUGUAUAAUGCUUAGGUGAUUUAGGUGAGUGGGUGGAUUUACACAAGAGAUCCGUAUUUUCUAGAAAUUUCUGUACAUGGGGAAGCUUUUGUUUUAGAACGUUUCUAAUAAGUUUAAUUAGCAUGUAACUUUUCCAAAGAAUGUUUUUGAUGUGUAGCAGUAAGUGUAGAGUUUGCAUGGUGGAAGGUAAAGAGUGUAGGCUUUGAAGUCAGCCUGAGUUUGAACCCUAUUUUGACAUUUCCUAAUUGAUUUUUGACUAAGUUAUAGUUUUUGAGAUUUGAGUUUCUUCUGUAAAAUGGUUAUAAACUUUUGCAUUACAGAGUUGUUGGGAAAAUUAAAUCAGAAAUUAUAUUAAACUGUGGCAUAACACUUGGCACAUAAAUUGGGCUUGAUAAGAAUAAAUCCCCUACUUCUACGAAAGUCUGACAUCUCUUAGGUUUAUGUUAAGAAUAUAAAGAGCCUUGUAAAAUGGUACAGCUGCUUUAGAAACAGUUUGGCAGUUCCUCAAAAACUUAAACAUAGAGUUACUGUCUGACCCAGCAGUCCCACUCCUAGGUAUGGACCCAGGAGAAAUGAAAACAUACGUCCACCCAGAAAUUUGUUCACAAAUGUUUAUGGCAACAUUAUUCGUAAUAGCCAAAAAGUGGAAACAACCCAAAUGUCCAUCGAUUGAUCAGUGGAGAAUCGAACUGUGGUCCAUCAGAAGGAAUAGAUGGAAACAUGGUAAGGGAAGGAAGUCAGACACAAAAGGCCACGUAUUGUCUGAUUCCAUUGAUGGGAAAUGUCCAGAAUAGGCAAAUCUGUAGAGAGACAGUAGGUGAGUGAUUGCCAGGGUCCAGGGAGAGGGAAGGAGGGAUGGGAGUGAAUGUCGUUAUGGGUACAUACGGGCUUGCUUUCUGGGGUUAUGAAAAUGUCCUGGAAUUAAACAGUGGCAAUAGUUGCACAACCUUGGGAAUAUACUGAAAUCCACUGGAUUUUUAUACUUUAAAAUGGUGAAUUUUUUGGUGUGUGAAUUAUAUCUGAACUCGCACUCCCCUGUCCUUGGACUAGUGUUUUCACUUACUAACUAGAAUCAGAAGAAGGUCUCGUAUGCUUUACGUGGCUUCUGACAUUUUUCUGACUUCGGAUUCGUAUUUUAAAUGAACAUCUUCAUGUUUUCUAAAGAAGAGAGAGCGAAGACAGAGCCAGGCAGAAGGGCUUGCUGAAGUGGAGACACUGCUAGCUCUGCCUGUGAGAGGCCUGAACAAGUUUUGGAGGAGCGCUGUCUUCACGGUGGGGUGACAUCUCUGGGGCCCUGUUAUGAGUAAGGGUGCCUAAAGUCACUGAUAAAAUCAGCGAGCACAUCCAGCAGAAUCUUCAGGAAACGUUAGCCUGGGCGGUGAGAUUCAGAAAUCUCAAAUCCCAGGGAAGUUUUGUCUUUGGAGAGCGAGGUAGCCUUGAUGACGUCUUUACACGGCCCGCAUCACUUUCUCAGGGGGAACAGCCUUCUGGAACACUUGGUCUUGGCAAAUAGUGCAUCCGAUGAGAUGAAGGGAAAACGGCUAUCACUAAGUGUGCUCCCCAGGUCCUCAAAUCUCCUUUUUUUGGGUCUUUUUUUGGUAUCUGCAUUUUAUGUGUCAACUUGGUAGGGAAGCAGCUUCAUAAAGAAACCCAGAACAUAAGUGAAAUAAAACGAAUGUUUCUUUAGGUCAAAUCUCAACGGAGUCCAAAUUGGUGGUUUUAUGGUGCAGUGAAGGGAUCUUUCUGUGCAGGUUUAAUCAUGAUUAAAUAGUGGUUAUAUUUGAGUGUCUUACUUUGUUCCGCAAUCCUGAGAUGUCCCUUCCUCUCCUCUCCCAAAUUCUCACCUCAUAUUAGACUAGUCUUGCAAGUGAAAUUGUGACCGUUCAAUUUUUAACCAUUUAAGAUUUAUGAAUUGUAGGUUUUCAUUUAAAACUUGGAAUUUUUAUUUCUUUGUUGUUUAUUUCUUUUAAUCAUUGUAUUUUAAGAAAAUGAACCAAUGACUGUUCAGAUGUCUCAUCAGUGGUUAAAUUACCUUUUUCCUUCCACUAUAAAGCAGUACAGGCUUUGCGUAGAUUUUAGAAAAUAUGGAAAGUAUAAAGAUGUUAAAUCAAACCAUCUACAAUUUUGAUAUUUUGAUGUGUAGCUUUCUAGACUUUUUAUAAUACAUAUAUACAGCCAUAAAUGUGCUUGUAUAUGUGUAUGAGUGUUUUAAGUAAAAGUGAGGUCCUACUACGUAAAGGUGAAAUUGUACUAUAUUAUUUUGUAACUUCUAAUUCUCGUCACUAAAUACAGAUCUGUAUAGUUUUAAGUAACUGCAUAGUAUUUUCACUAUGCCUUGUAUGACCUUAAUUUAAUCUUGUAGCAAUAGACUUUUAGAUUUUUUCCAUUGUGUUCGUUAUAAAAAACACUACUGUGAACAUCUUUGGAUAUAUGUCUCUGUGCACAUAUCUGAUGUUUUAUAUCUGCACAUAUAUUUUAGGAUCAAUUCCUAGAAGGAAAAUCAAGUAUUAAUUUUUUCCUUUCUUUCACUUUAUCAGCAGGUUCUGUCAGGUCGACCUCCGUUUACUUCUGUCCGUCUCACUGCCCCCCCUCAAGUCCAGGCCACUGUCACUCUCACCUACGCAAUUGGUGUCUCCUCUUUUCCAUUCUUGCCCUCGGUUUUCCACGCAUCGGCUGGAAUGAUCUUAAAGUGGAAAUCAGACAUUGUUAUUCCCCUGCUAAAGCCUUCAAUGGCAUCUGAGCGCUCUUAGGAUAAAGCCCAAAUUAAUAACCCAAAUUAUUAAGGUCCUGCCUCAUCUGGCUGUAUUCCUAGUUCCCAGCACAGGCCUUUGUGAGCGCACAAUAAACAUUUGAGUGAAUAAUAAAUGAAAUUACCAGAUCAAAGGGAAUUUUAUCAGCUUUUGAUACACAUUACCAAAUUAGCAACAGUGGAUGAAAGUGCCAGUUCCCCCACACUCUGGCCAACUCGGCAUUAUCAGCCUUUUUAAUCUUUGCCAAUCUGAUAGGCAGAAGGUGUUAUCGCAUUGUUUUAAUUUGUAUUUCUUUGAUUGCUAGUCGAGUUGAACAUUCCUCCCCGUGUUUUUGGCCAUCUCUUUUUUUGUGUGAGUCACCUGCUCGUGUGCUUUGUCUAUUUUCUCAAUGGGAUGUUGAGGGUUUUUGUAAUGAUUUAUAAUAUAUUAAAUAAGUGAGUGCAGAUAUAUUGUCUCAGUUAUCUAUUGUAGUGUAACAAACACCUCAGAACCUAGUAAAACAUGUUUGAGCUGGUCGGGCAGUUCUGCUGGUCUCACCUGGACUCAGACAUGUGUUUAUUCCUUGGUCAGGUACACGUGGUGUGUCUGUCUGUCUGUCUGUCACUUAGUAAUAGCAGCCUACCGUGCGAUCGAGCCCCACUGUGCAAGCGCUUAUCAAACCUCUGUGUGCUGUCCCUUUAUGUCGUCUUGGCUAAAGCAAGUCACAAGGUCAGUGUGGCAGGAGACGACACAAGGACGGAUCUAGAGGUGUGGUUCAUUGGGGGCGUGAUGCAAAAAUCUUGUAAAUUUGUCACUUGUUCUUUGUUUGUUUUGGUUUAGAAGUUUUAAAAUUUCUUACCAAACCUCUCAGCAUUUAUGUUUACAGCUCUGCCUUUGGUGUCAUACUUUCUCCAACCUAAAAUUACACGUGUUCACUUACAUUUUCCUUUG